AAUUCAAUAUAAAUAAAAUAAAUAUCUCUUAAGAUGAUAGUUUGCAAAAUAUAAUGAAGAUAGAUAGAGAUAGAAAUUGAAUAAAUGUAAAUUUUCUUUCCAAAUUUGUAUAUUUUUCGUGCAAGAGGAUGCAAUGUGGAGAAACUAAGCCGCUAUGCAAGAACAAGAAUCAGAUGCAAUCUGUUUUUGCAAAACGCAAUGUAGCUGCAAGAAACUAAUUAUGAGAGAAAAUGAAAGUCGCGUUUCCAAAUAUUUAUCAGAUAAUUGUAAAAGAAGACGCAAUAUGUGGAAUUGAGGUUACCUUGCAGGAAACAGAAACUGAUUCAUACAACGAAAAAAUGAAUCAUCCGAGUAUCGAACCUAAAAUAUCUAAUCUGAAAAGAUUAGACGUGAACGAUUUAUAACUUCACUUUUAAAUAUUUAACAUAGCAAAUAUCGAGCGAAAACACAAUAACCGAAAAAUAUAAAGGAGCGAAAAAAAUAAAUAGGAACCACAUUUUUAGUUGCACAAUCGACAAAUAAAGGGAUAAAAUCAAAUUGCGCUUUUAAACAUUCGAAAUAAAAUAAAAUAACCAAGCGAAGAACGCAACACUUUAAAUGUACCUCGCAAGAGGUAUAUAAAUCAACUAUAAACCGCGUUUCCUAUUAUUCAAAGUAAAAAGAAAAAAAAAUACCUAGGAAUAUGCGUCUCGAAUAAAACGAGUGUCUGCCGCGUUUCCAAAUAAAAUUUAUCGCGGUAUGAGCGUGUAAGGGAGCGAUGAGAAGGGAAAUACGGAGGAAAGGCGCGUUUCCACGCGGCGAAGAAUGUAAGAACGCAAGUUAGGUGUUAUCGCAUCGAAAUCCGCCGUUUCACUGGCACGACGACCGGUGCUUUAUCCAGCGGAAAGAGCUUCUAAUAUCGCAUGCCGUUUAUCGAUUUAUCCCCGGGACGACACACCAACGACACGUAUUGCGGAUCGUACGUUUCCAGUAGCAUUCGUGGCAUUUCCUCCAACAGCAUUGCCGCGAAUCGAUUUACAUAAGAAUUUCUGACUGUGUUCUGACGCUUUUCGAGAAAAAGAAGCGAAAGAGAAGAGGGGAAUAAAAAGGAGAAAGAAAGGAAAUGGAGAGAGAGAAAUGGAAGACGAAGAAGGAAGUAAAUACUUGUGGGAGGAGGAAAUGGGAGGGGAGAGGCGAUGGAUGAAAAACGGAGGGGAAUCGAUAGUCUCUCGAGAAGGUGUCGCUACGUAUGGAGCACCAGAUUUACCCACGUCACCGACUACUCAAGCAUCCUGAAAUAGCAUACUUUUCUUCAUCGAUCAGUCUCGGUCGUCUGCACCAAUCUAGUCGCUUGCAACCCCUCUCGAGGAGAGAGGACCGAGGGUCGAGGUUAACCAGUUCCUUACUCGCGGUUAAAUUAUUCGAGAAGAUCAACCUAUUUGGGUGGUCUUGUUAAAUUCCUUAUUAAACGUUUGACAAACGUUUUGUAAAUUUUCAAUUCGAUUGAUUUAGAUACACUGAUAGUAUUUCUGACGAAAUUUGUACUCUUUUUGAAAUUAAUUAUAGAAAAUAAUAAGUUGGAUUUUUCCUCAAGCAAAAAAUUAGAUUGAGUUUUUAAAGUUUAAGUUUAAAAUGUUUCUUGUUAGUACAUACACAAGUGGUUUGAAUUAGAUAACAUAGUUACCUUGUUUUUUAUAAUGCAUGCCUCCUCUUAUCAAUUUUUAAUUCGUGUAAACAAGAACAUUCGUUUAAAAAUAUCUUGGAAAAAAUUAUUAAAAAAAUAAUUUUUCACAAAUGGUAAAGUCUAUUUGAACGAGAUAAUAUUUCGUCGGGUAUACGAUAGAAAUGUGAAGAAAGGGUUGAUUUUAAUGGGAUAAGUGAAGGUUUGCAGUACGUGGCGCGCAUUGAAUUCUCCAUCAAAAAAAA